GCAACACAGGCUAUGUUCGCGUCAUCGGCGCAGUUAUCUACCGCUUCACUCUCCCUAUGCCCUUCCAUUUGACGCGGCACUACUUGCCGGUGACCUACACUUCAUUCCUUUCCCAAUUUCUUCGUGAAAUUACCGAAAUACAUAUCAAAUACCAGGCAUACGUACCGAAGAAAGAUAAUUUAGUUUCGUUACAAUAAAAAAUGUAAUCGAAGAGAAUUGCAUUCUUUGGAAAAAAAUAAAUCCAAAAGAAAUUAAAUAAAGAUACGAAGGUUGGUCAGAUAAGGAUAAAUCAAUAAUGGACUCGGUGUUGAACCUAAAAUUUCUCCCAGCGCUACUGUAUUAGAUAUCAAAUUGAAGAAUUUACACGUAUACUUAUACGUAUAAUCUAUUACAAAUUUUUUUUAUUCAAUUUACAGAUUUGAUACAAAAUAAUUUUAUUAAUCUAUUAUCAAUAAAAAUCGUUAACAUUUAUAAUUAUCAAAUAGGCGGAAAGAUAAUUAAAUCAUUUAUGUAAAUUUUAACAAUUUCAACGCCUUCCAAUACGUAAACUAAAAGCGAAUAACGCAAGUAAAAUUAAGUAAGUAAAAUAACUAAACGUAAUAUUUUUAAAGAAGCCCGUUCACUUUUUAUUAAUCUAUUUACAAUAUGCAAGACGAUUUUUAA
rnacentral:lncRNA from 1 species